UUGUUUUUUCUGCGUUUUGAAAAAAAUAUUUUAGACGUUAAACCGCAAGGUCUACUAGUUUUCGACGAUAUUGUUAUCAAGUCUAACAAUUAUCCUUAUCCACAUAAUGAGCUGAUAAAUAAUAAUCCUAGGAAUAUUAUUGGUUUGUUGUAACUUUGUGAUACGUUUAUGCAAUAAUUAUUUCAAUUAUAUAUAUACACACACAUACAAUUUUAAAUGACUAUAUAAAACCGUCAAGUUGGAGACUAAAAUUAUCAUUUUCAAACCGAAACUUACGCAGUAUACUGUAUCAUCAAAUAAUUCAGCAAUCAUGAAGAUUUUCCACUACUUAGUAUUUUUCGUCGUAAUGCUGACUAUUGGUUUCAAUGCAGGAGUAAAUGCUAGUCCAUCACAAAUUAAAAAACGUUCUCCUGAAGAACCAUGUCCAUUUCCAGAGUGCCAAGGAUAAGAUUCCUGAAUAGAAAAUCAAAGUUAUUACAAUUACCAUGUAUUAAAAAAUGUGAUUGUGAAAAAAAUUAUCUGAUGCAAUAAAUACAUGAAUUAUUAAAAAAAAA